rnacentral:rRNA from 1 species
UGGGGAAUAUUGCGCAAUGGGCGAAAGCCUGACGCAGCAACGCCGCGUGAGUGAUGAAGGCCUUCGGGUUGUAAAGCUCUUUCGGCCGGGAAGAAGGGUGUACUUGCGAAUAGUCUGUACAUUUGAUGGUACCGGAAGAAGAAGCACCGGCUAACUUCGUGCCAGCAGCCGCGGUAAUACGAAGGGUGCAAGCGUUGUUCGGAAUUACUGGGCGUAAAGGGUUCGUAGGCGGGAAUGUAAGUUGAAUGUGAAAACCCUGGGCUCAACCCGGGACGUGCAUCCAAAACUGCGUUUCUUGAGUGUCUGAGAGGGUCGUGGAAUUGCUGGUGUAGGAGUGACAUCCGUAGAGAUCAGCAGGAACACCGGAGGCGAAAGCGACGACCUGGCAGAACACUGACGCUGAGGAACGAAAGCGUGGGGAGCAAACAGGAUUAGAUACCCCUGUAGUCC